rnacentral:rRNA from 1 species
UACGUAGGGGGCAAGCGUUGUCCGGAUUUAUUGGGCGUAAAGAGCGUGUAGGCGGCCAGAUAGGUCCGUUGUGAAAACUCGAGGCUCAACCUCGAGACGCCGAUGGAAACCAUUUGGCUAGAGUCCGGAAGAGGCGAGUGGAAUUCCUGGUGUAGCGGUGGAAUGCGCAGAUAUCAGGAAGAACACCGGUGGCGAAGGCGGCUCGCUGGGCCAUUUCUGACGCUGAGGCGCGAAAGCGUGGGGAGCAAACAGG